GACGAACGCUGGCGGCGUGCCUAAUACAUGCAAGUAGAACGCUGAAGGAGGAGCUUGCUUCUCUGGAUGAGUUGCGAACGGGUGUGUAACGCGUAGGUAACCUGCCUGGUAGCGGGGGAUAACUAUUGGAAACGAUAGCUAAUACCGCAUAAUAGUAGAUGUUGCAUGACAUUUGCCUAAAAGGUGCAAUUGCAUCACUACCAGAUGGACCUGCGUUGUAUUAGCUAGUUGGUGGGGUAACGGCUCACCAAGGCGACGAUACAUAGCCGACCUGAGAGGGUGAUCGGCCACACUGGGACUGAGACACGGCCCAGACUCCUACGGGAGGCAGCAGUAGGGAAUCUUCGGCAAUGGACGGAAGUCUGACCGAGCAACGCCGCGUGAGUGAAGAAGGUUUUCGGAUCGUAAAGCUCUGUUGUAAGAGAAGAACGAGUGUGAGAGUGGAAAGUUCACACUGUGACGGUAUCUUACCAGAAAGGGACGGCUAACUACGUG
rnacentral:rRNA from 1 species